GCUAUCCAUUUGUCCACUCAUAUCUAGCCAUCACAUCGGCUCUGGGACAUUCUGUAAUUGGGGCUUCUAUCAUGGCCCUCACACCUUCUCCUAAGGUGUCUUCGUCUUUCAUAGGCGGUCGCAUCCUCCUUCAGUUAGGAUGCUUCAAAGUGGCUC